rnacentral:rRNA from 1 species
GUAGGUGGCAAGCGUUGUCCGGAAUUAUUGGGCGUAAAGCGCGCGCAGGCGGUCCUUUAAGUCUGAUGUGAAAGCCCACGGCUCAACCGUGGAGGGUCAUUGGAAACUGGGGGACUUGAGUACAGAAGAGGAAAGCGGAAUUCCAAGUGUAGCGGUGAAAUGCGUAGAGAUUUGGAGGAACACCAGUGGCGAAGGCGGCUUUCUGGUCUGUAACUGACGCUGAGGCGCGAAAGCGUGGGGAGCAUACAGGGAUUAGAUACCCUGGUAGUCCACGCCGUAAACGAUGAGUGCUAAGUGUUAGGGGGGUUUCCGCCCCCUUAGUGCUGCAGCUGACGCAUUAAGCACUCCGCCCUGGGAGUACGGCCGCAAGGCUG